rnacentral:rRNA from 1 species
UGGGGAAUUUUGGACAAUGGGCGAAAGCCUGAUCCAGCAAUGCCGCGUGUGUGAAGAAGGCCUUCGGGUUGUAAAGCACUUUUGUCCGGAAAGAAAUGGCUCUGGUUAAUACCUGGGGUCGAUGACGGUACCGGAAGAAUAAGGACCGGCUAACUACGUGCCAGCAGCCGCGGUAAUACGUAGGGUCCAAGCGUUAAUCGGAAUUACUGGGCGUAAAGCGUGCGCAGGCGGUAGUGCAAGACCGAUGUGAAAUCCCCGAGCUUAACUUGGGAAUUGCAUUGGUGACUGCACGGCUAGAGUGUGUCAGAGGGAAGUAGAAUUCCACGUGUAGCAGUGAAAUGCGUAGAGAUGUGGAGGAAUACCGAUGGCGAAGGCAGCCCCCUGGAAUAACACUGACGAUCAUGCACGAAAGCGUGGGGAGCAAACAGG